rnacentral:rRNA from 1 species
UACGUAGGGCGCAAGCGUUGUCCGGAAUUAUUGGGCGUAAAGAGCUCGUAGGCGGUUUGUCGCGUCUGUCGUGAAAGCUUGGGGCUUAACCCCAAGUCUGCGGUGGAUACGGGCAGACUAGAGGCAGGUAGGGGAGAACGGAAUUCCCGGUGUAGCGGUGAAAUGCGCAGAUAUCAGGAAGAAUAUCCGUGGCGAAGGCGGCUCUCUGGUACGGCACUGACGCUGAGACGCGAAAGCGUGGGGAGCGAACAGG